rnacentral:misc_RNA from 1 species
GAAAUGCGAUAAGUAAUGUGAAUUGCAGAAUUCAGUGAAUCAUCGAAUCUUUGAACGCACAUUGCGCCCGUCAGCAUUCUGGCGGGCAUGCCUAUUCGAGCGUCAUUUCAACCCUCAGGACCCCCCUUUCGCGGGGAGGGACCUGGCGUUGGGGAUCGGCCCGCCCCCCGCGGCGGCGCCGUCCCCGAAAUCUAGUGGCGGUCUCGCUGCAGCCUCCCCUGCGUAGUAGUUACAACCUCGCAUCGGAGCGCGGCGCGGCCACGCCGUAAAACCCCCGACUUUCUGAACGUUGACCUCGGAUCAGGUAGGAAUACCCGCUGAACUUAAGC